UUGGCAUGGUGGUGCUAUCGGUUGUUGUGGGAGUUGUAGUCAUUUCAGUAGUAGUUGACGGCGCGGUAGUGGUCGGCAUGGUGGAGGUUUCGGUCAUCGUGAGAGUUGUACUCGUUGCAGUAGUAGCUGAGGCCACAGUAGUGGUCAUCGUGGUGGUGGUUUUAGUCGUCGUGGGAGUUGUCGUCAUUGCAGUAGUAGUUGACGUUGCAGUUGUGGUCGGCGUGGUGGUGCUAUCUGUUGUCGUGGGAGAUGUAGUCGUUGCAGUAGUCGUUGAUGUCGCGGUACUGGUCGGCAUGAUUGUGCUUUCAAUUGUUGUGGGAGUUGUAGUCGUUGCAGUAGCUGUUGACAUCGCGGCAGUGGUCGGCGUGGUUGUGGUUUCGGUUGUCGAGGGAGGUGUAGUCGUUUCAGUAGUAGUUGAUGUCGCGGUAGUGGUCGGAAUGGUUAUGAUUUCGGUUGUUGUGGGAGUUGUUGUCGGUGCUGUAGCUGUUGACAUCGCGGCAGUGGUCAGCGUGGUUAUGCUUUCGGUUGUCGUGGGAGUUGUAGUCGUUGCAGUAGUAGUUGAUCUCGCGGUACUGGUUGGCGUGGUUAUGCUUUCGGUUGUUGUGGGAGUUGUUGUCGUUGCUGUAGCUGUUGACAUCGCGGCAGUGGUCGACAUGGUGGUGGUUCCGGUUGUCGUGGGAGUUGUAGUGGUUGCAAUAGUGGUUGACGUCGCGGCAGUGGUCAGCAUGGUGGUGGUUCCGGUUGUCGUGGGAGUUGUAGUCGUUGCAGUAGUGGUUGACGUCGCGGCAGUCGUCGGCAUGGUGGUGGUUCCGGUUGUCGUGGGAGUUGUUGUCGUUUCGGAAGUAGUUGACAUCGUGGUACUUGUCAGGGUGGUGGUUGUUUCGGUUGUCGUGGGAGUUCUAGUCAUUUCAGUAGUAGUUGAAGUCGCGGUAGUGGGUGAUGCCGCAGCAGUGGUCGGCGUGGUGGUGGUUCCGGUUGUCGUGGGAGUUGUAGUCGUUGCAGUAGUAGUUGACGUCGCGGUAGUGGUUGGAGCUGUUGUGCUUUGGGUUGUCGUGGGAGUUGUUGUCGUUGCUGUAGUAGUUGACGUCGCAGAAGUGGUUGGAGCUGUUGUGCUUUGGGUUGUCGUGGGAGUUGUAGCCGUUGCAGUAGCUGUUGACAUCGCGGCAGUGGUCGGCAUGGUGGUUGUUUCGGUUGUCGUGGGAGUUCUAGUCGUUUCAGUAGUAGUUGAAAUCGCGGUAUUCGGUGAUGCCGCAGCAGUGGUCGGCGUGGUGGUGGUUCCGGUUGUCAUGGGAGUUGUAGUCGUUGCUGUAGUAGUUGACGUCGCGGUAGUGGUUGGAGCUGUUGUGCUUUGGGUUCUCGUGGGAGUUGUUGUCGUUGCAGUAGCUGUUGACAUCGCGGCAGUGGCCGGCAUGGUGGUUGUUCCGGUUGUCGUGGGAGUUGUAGUCGUUGCAGUAGUGGUUGACGUCGCGGCAGUGGUCGGCAUGGUGGUGGUUCCGGUUGUCGUGGGAGUUGUAGUCGUUGCAGUAGUAGUUGACGUCGCGGUAGUGGUUGGAGCUGUUGUGCUUUGGGUUGUCGUGGGAGUUGUUGUCAUUGCUGUAGUAGUUGACGUCGCGGUAGUGGUUGUCAUGGUUAUGCUUUCGGUUGUCGUGGGAGUUCUCGUCGUUGCAGUAGUAGUUAACGUCGCGGCAGUGGUCGGCAUGGUGGUGGUUUCGGUUGUCGUGGGAGUUGUAGUCGUUGGAGUAGCUGUUGACGUCGUGGUACUUGUCAGGGUGGUGGUUGUUUCGGUUGUCGUGGGAGUUCUAGUCGUUUCAGUAGUAGUUGAAGUCGCGGUAUUCGGUGAUGCCGCAGCAGUGGUCGGCGUGGUGGUGGUUCCGGUUGUCAUGGGAGUUGUAGUCGUUGCUGUAGUAGUUGACGUCGCGGUAGUGGUUGGAGCUGUUGUGCUUUGGGUUGUCGUGGGAGUUGUUGUCGUUGCAGUAGUGGUUGACGUCGCGGCAGUGGUCAGCAUGGUGGUGGUUCCGGUUGUUGUGGGAGUUGUUGUCGUUGCUGGAGUAGUUGACGUCGUGGUAGUGGUUGGCAUGGUGAUGCUUUGGGUUGUCGUGGGAGUUGUUGUCGUUGCAGUAGUAGUUGACGUCGCGGUAGUGGUUGGAGCUGUUGUGCUUUGGGUUGUCGUGGGAGUUGUUGUCGUUGCUGUAGUAGUUGACGUCGCGGUAGUGGUUGGAGCUGUUGUGCUUUGGGUUGUCGUGGGAGUUGUAGCCGUUGCAGAAGCUGUUGACAUCGCGGCAGUGGUCGGCAUGGUGGUGGUUCCGGUUGUCGUGGGAGUUGUAGUCGUUGCAGUAGUGGUUGACGUCGCGGCAGUCGUCGGCAUGGUGGUGGUUCCGGUUGUCGUGGGAGUUGUUGUCGUUUCGGAAGUAGUUGACAUCGUGGUACUUGUCAGGGUGGUGGUUGUUUCGGUUGUCGUGGGAGUUCUAGUCAUUUCAGUAGUAGUUGAAGUCGCGGUAGUGGGUGAUGCCGCAGCAGUGGUCGGCGUGGUGGUGGUUCCGGUUGUCGUGGGAGUUGUUGUCGUUGCAGUAGUAGUUGACGUCGCGGUAGUGGUUGGAGCUGUUGUGCUUUGGGUUGUCGUGGGAGUUGUUGUCGUUGCUGUAGUAGUUGACGUCGCAGAAGUGGUUGGAGCUGUUGUGCUUUGGGUUGUCGUGGGAGUUGUAGCCGUUGCAGUAGCUGUUGACAUCGCGGCAGUGGUCGGCAUGGUGGUGGUUCCGGUUGUCGUGGGAGUUGUAGUCGUUGCAGUAGUGGUUGACGUCGCGGCAGUCGUCGGCAUGGUGGUGGUUCCGGUUGUCGUGGGAGUUGUUGUCGUUUCGGAAGUAGUUGACAUCGUGGUACUUGUCAGGGUGGUGGUUGUUUCGGUUAUCGUGGGAGUUCUAGUCAUUUCAGUAGUAGUUGAAGUCGCGGUAGUGGGUGAUGCCGCAGCAGUGGUCGGCGUGGUGGUGGUUCCGGUUGUCGUGGGAGUUGUAGUCGUUGCAGUAGUAGUUGACGUCGCGGUAGUGGUUGGAGCUGUUGUGCUUUGGGUUGUCGUGGGAGUUGUUGUCGUUGCUGUAGUAGUUGACGUCGCGGCAGUGGUUGGAGCUGUUGUGCUUUGGGUUGUCGUGGGAGUUGUAGCCGUUGCAGUAGCUGUUGACAUCGCGGCAGUGGCCGGCAUGGUGGUUGUUCCGGUUGUCGUGGGAGUUGUUGUCGUUGCGGGAGUAGUUGAUCUCGCGGUACUGGUUGGCGUGGUUAUGCUUUCGGUUGUUGUGGGAGUUGUUGUCGUUGCUGUAGCUGUUGACAUCGCGGCAGUGGUCGACAUGGUGGUGGUUCCGGUUGUCGUGGGAGUUGUAGUGGUUGCAAUAGUGGUUGACGUCGCGGCAGUGGUCAGCAUGGUGGUGGUUCCGGUUGUCGUGGGAGUUGUAGUCGUUGCAGUAGUGGUUGACGUCGCGGCAGUCGUCGGCAUGGUGGUGGUUCCGGUUGUCGUGGGAGUUGUUGUCGUUUCGGAAGUAGUUGACAUCGUGGUACUUGUCAGGGUGGUGGUUGUUUCGGUUGUCGUGGGAGUUCUAGUCAUUUCAGUAGUAGUUGAAGUCGCGGUAGUGGGUGAUGCCGCAGCAGUGGUCGGCGUGGUGGUGGUUCCGGUUGUCGUGGGAGUUGUAGUCGUUGCAGUAGUAGUUGACGUCGCGGUAGUGGUUGGAGCUGUUGUGCUUUGGGUUGUCGUGGGAGUUGUUGUCGUUGCUGUAGUAGUUGACGUCGCAGAAGUGGUUGGAGCUGUUGUGCUUUGGGUUGUCGUGGGAGUUGUAGCCGUUGCAGUAGCUGUUGACAUCGCGGCAGUGGUCGGCAUGGUGGUUGUUUCGGUUGUCGUGGGAGUUCUAGUCGUUUCAGUAGUAGUUGAAAUCGCGGUAUUCGGUGAUGCCGCAGCAGUGGUCGGCGUGGUGGUGGUUCCGGUUGUCAUGGGAGUUGUAGUCGUUGCUGUAGUAGUUGACGUCGCGGUAGUGGUUGGAGCUGUUGUGCUUUGGGUUCUCGUGGGAGUUGUUGUCGUUGCAGUAGCUGUUGACAUCGCGGCAGUGGCCGGCAUGGUGGUGGUUCCGGUUGUCGUGGGAGUUGUAGUCGUUGCAGUAGUGGUUGACGUCGCGGCAGUGGUCGGCAUGGUGGUGGUUCCGGUUGUCGUGGGAGUUGUAGUCGUUGCAGUAGUAGUUGACGUCGCGGUAGUGGUUGGAGCUGUUGUGCUUUGGGUUGUCGUGGGAGUUGUUGUCAUUGCUGUAGUAGUUGACGUCGCGGUAGUGGUUGUCAUGGUUAUGCUUUCGGUUGUCGUGGGAGUUCUCGUCGUUGCAGUAGUAGUUAACGUCGCGGCAGUGGUCGGCAUGGUGGUGGUUUCGGUUGUCGUGGGAGUUGUAGUCGUUGGAGUAGCUGUUGACGUCGUGGUACUUGUCAGGGUGGUGGUUGUUUCGGUUGUCGUGGGAGUUCUAGUCGUUUCAGUAGUAGUUGAAGUCGCGGUAUUCGGUGAUGCCGCAGCAGUGGUCGGCGUGGUGGUGGUUCCGGUUGUCAUGGGAGUUGUAGUCGUUGCUGUAGUAGUUGACGUCGCGGUAGUGGUUGGAGCUGUUGUGCUUUGGGUUGUCGUGGGAGUUGUUGUCGUUGCAGUAGUGGUUGACGUCGCGGCAGUGGUCAGCAUGGUGGUGGUUCCGGUUGUUGUGGGAGUUGUUGUCGUUGCUGGAGUAGUUGACGUCGUGGUAGUGGUUGGCAUGGUGAUGCUUUGGGUUGUCGUGGGAGUUGUUGUCGUUGCAGUAGUAGUUGACGUCGCGGUAGUGGUUGGAGCUGUUGUGCUUUGGGUUGUCGUGGGAGUUGUUGUCGUUGCUGUAGUAGUUGACGUCGCGGUAGUGGUUGGAGCUGUUGUGCUUUGGGUUGUCGUGGGAGUUGUAGCCGUUGCAGAAGCUGUUGACAUCGCGGCAGUGGUCGGCAUGGUGGUGGUUCCGGUUGUCGUGGGAGUUGUAGUCGUUGCAGUAGUGGUUGACGUCGCGGCAGUCGUCGGCAUGGUGGUGGUUCCGGUUGUCGUGGGAGUUGUUGUCGUUUCGGAAGUAGUUGACAUCGUGGUACUUGUCAGGGUGGUGGUUGUUUCGGUUGUCGUGGGAGUUCUAGUCAUUUCAGUAGUAGUUGAAGUCGCGGUAGUGGGUGAUGCCGCAGCAGUGGUCGGCGUGGUGGUGGUUCCGGUUGUCGUGGGAGUUGUUGUCGUUGCAGUAGUAGUUGACGUCGCGGUAGUGGUUGGAGCUGUUGUGCUUUGGGUUGUCGUGGGAGUUGUUGUCGUUGCUGUAGUAGUUGACGUCGCGGUAGUGGUUGGAGCUGUUGUGCUUUGGGUUGUCGUGGGAGUUGUAGCCGUUGCAGUAGCUGUUGACAUCGCGGCAGUGGUCGGCAUGGUGGUGGUUCCGGUUGUCGUGGGAGUUGUAGUCGUUGCAGUAGUGGUUGACGUCGCGGCAGUGGUCGGCAUGGUGGUGGUUCCGGUUGUCGUGGGAGUUGUUG
rnacentral:lncRNA from 1 species